rnacentral:rRNA from 1 species
GACGAACGCUGGCGGCGUGCUUAACACAUGCAAGUCGAACGAGGCCCUCCCUUCGGGGAGGUGUCCUAGUGGCGAACGGGUGAGUAACACGUGGACAACCUGCCCCCGGCUCUGGGAUAACUCCAAGAAAUUGGGGCUAAUACCGGAUAUGACCGCUGACCGCAUGGUCUGGUGGUGGAAAGUUUUUCGGCUGGGGAUGGGCCCGCGGCCUAUCAGCUUGUUGGUGGGGUAGUGGCCUACCAAGGCGACGACGGGUAGCCGGCCUGAGAGGGUGACCGGCCACACUGGGACUGAGACACGGCCCAGACUCCUACGGGAGGCAGCAGUGGGGAAUAUUGCGCAAUGGGCGGAAGCCUGACGCAGCGACGCCGCGUGGGGGAUGACGGCCUUCGGGUUGUAAACCUCUUUCAGCAGGGACGAAGCGAAAGUGACGGUACCUGCAGAAGAAGCACCGGCCAACUACGUGCCAGCCGCCGCCGUAA